rnacentral:rRNA from 1 species
CAGUAGCCGCGGGAAUACGGAGGGUGCAAGCGUUAUCCGGAUUUAUUGGGUUUAAAGGGUCCGUAGGCGGAUCUGUAAGUCAGUGGUGAAAUCUCACAGCUUAACUGUGAAACUGCCAUUGAUACUGCAGGUCUUGAGUAAAUUUGAAGUGGCUGGAAUAAGUAGUGUAGCGGUGAAAUGCAUAGAUAUUACUUAGAACACCAAUUGCGAAGGCAGGUCACUAAGAUUUAACUGACGCUGAUGGACGAAAUCGUGGGGAGCGAACAGGAUUAGAUACCCCAGUAGUCCCUGUCUCUUAUAC